AUUGAUUGUUACCUAAUCGAGUUAAUCAACUGUGAUAAUCAAGAAGCAAUUCUAUUUUUAUUAAUUAUGUUUUUCUUUUAUUCAUUAGCCAAACCUCCACAAUUUCCAUUGUUGUUUGGAACAUGAUAAUUGCUACCAGAGAAAAGGAAAGAGUAAAGUUCAUCUGAUUGGUUUAUAGAAACGAGUUCUUUAACCAAAGUAAUAAAUCGGGUUUUCUUGUUUUCUUUUCUCUGGUAUAACUUUCCUGGUUUUCCCUUUUUUCCAUCUUCAUCUUCUUCCAUAUUCCUGGUUCAUCAUCAUUCAACCUUCAUCAAUAUCUUUCUUCAUGUGAUAACCUUUUAUUGGUGCAAUCAUAUUCUCAUUACCUGUUUGUUUACCUCUUCUUAUCACUUACAACUUGUAAUUAGCUUUAGAAACAGUUGCUGGAUUAACCGAUUAUCUCAGAUUAUCAUCAUCAGUAUCAUCAUUUCAUGGGGGAAAAUUAGGUUGAUUUGUUGGUAAAGGUAUUUUCUUUUUGUUGGUAAAAAAAGACAAACAUUUCAAACUCCAUUGAUAUUCUGACUGUUUGUUUCAAUCGAAACAAAAAAUUUAGAAUAGAAAAAAAGAGACAAUUGUUUAUUCCUCCAAUAAGGAUACAUCUUAUUGGUUCAUCUUCUUUUUUCCUCUUCUAUUCUCUUCUUUUCAAUCAGAAUUUAUCAUCUAAUAAGUUCCAUUAUCUUCUCAACUCUUUCCCCUUCUCUUGUUCUUUCAAUUAAUUAGAUGAGGGAAGUAGAAAAUUGUUUAUUGUGAUAAAUCAUUUUUCCAUCAACAUCAUCACCAUGAAGAGAAACAGUUGGAAAUAUUUCUUGUCUCGCUGAACAUUAACCAUGAUUAAGAUGAGAUAUGAACAAUAAUGGAUCGAGAUAUGAAUUCACAAUCGACUCAAUUGAACGAACAAGGGGAAAAGUAGCGAAACUUAGUUUCUAUGGAUAAACGUCAACGAUAUUCAAGUCGAAACUUUUUUCCUUGUAACUUUGUAUUAAUGGUGAAGAAAGUUGAUCACCAACUGAUUGUCUCCAUUGCAAUUUAAUCGCUGUUCUAACUUUA